UGGUGAUGAUGAGGAAAACUAAUUAACAAGGAUUUUAAUCUAUUCCAAUCUUGGUACAAAUUUUCUCCUCUUUUCUGUUUAAAACUCCAGAUCUCACUCCUCAACCU